AUUUAAGUAGCUUAUAUAGAGCUUUAUAUUGAAGAUAUAAUGGAAAUUAAUUUAUUCUUAAAUA
rnacentral:tRNA from 1 species